rnacentral:tmRNA from 1 species
CUUGCGUUUUUUUCGAUUUUAGGCUAUAAUAUCUCUUGUCAGGCAACUGACUAAGAUGCUAAACGGCAAAUGGAAUAGAUGUUGUGGACUCGGGGGCGGUACCCGACACCUCCACCAUUUAUGGGGGUGACUUUAGUUUCGACACGCAUAGUAAAGAUUUCGCUUUGUAUCCGGCAUGGUAUCCACCGUUAUCGGGCUAAAAAAAAUAAAUGCGAACGAUAAUGCUCGCGUUGCAAUGGCCGCCUAACGGCGUCUAACGCAACAAUGAUUCUGAAGUCCAUUUAGCGACAUCAGUGGGGUUUGGGGAUUCCUAGCAACAGAAUAUCCCCAC